CUAAAGGAAUGGAAAUUUAGGGUUCCAGGCUAUGGCGAGGCUGAGCACUGGCGUUACCACGCGCCAGUACGCUGAACGUAUGCCGCGCAUCUCCGAUACUCCUCUCUCAGCUCGGAUUCUGGAUUAGGGACUGCCGCCGCUACAGCACAGGCGAUUUCCAUCCAGAGCGCGGAGGAUUCCUGAUUGUCGAAAUGCCGCAGCCUGUGCUGCUCAAGAGAAGCGAUUUCCGCUGGAAUUUUCCCAAGGAAAUCGUUGUGGCAUAUCCAAUUCAUCCCUGGAGUUCAUGAAUUUCUUUCCUUUGUAGCUCUGACAGUGGUGUGUUUCAAUCAGCCAGGCGAACGAAAUGCAUUCUUACGGAGCCUGGAGUACUGUGGUUUGCGAUCAUCGGAAUAUGCAGGUAGAUAGAUACCUUUGAAUGAUUUCUAGAACUUGAGAUCUAGACGAUUGCAUCGAAGAGUUUGGCAACCAGUAAAGUUCCUCGACUUUGGUUCCAGCCGGAGCUAUACGGAAUGUAAAGAAAAUGGUGAAGAGCGCAAGAAAAAAGUCAUACACUCUUGCCGUCGGGAAGCCAAAUCCUGCAAAGCUUGUAAACAUUCCUGAGGUAACUCUCUUGGAGUAGUGUGAUGUGUUUGUCCUUGUAGCAUGUCCACCGGCGUUAGAUGAAAACUGGGAACUCCGGCAGUAUUGGAGGAAAAAGACGCACAAUUUUACUCGCUCGACUCUAAGGAGAGAAACCAGGCUAUCCUAUGGCUGCAAUUUAUAGAAAUUCGCUGUGUUGUUGGAAACAUUGCUCGCUUGCAGGCGAUUGAUCUCAGCUCGCGAUAGUGAAGAGGUUUGCAUCGAUUAGUUAUUUACAUUGUCGUUGCAGUGGUGCGAGGUGAGACGCAAACCUGGCAGGAACGGUGGCCACUUUGAAAGCUCCCAUGCAUGCCGAUGAUCCACUUUUCUCUUUCACGAUUUGCUACUUGACCAGUGUACACACGUACUUGGACAAGGUGCUACCUUCGAAGGAGUUUUGACAACGUCUUGACAAGUCAUUGCCGUGCGUUCUCAACUCUAGGUGUGUCGCGCGCUAUACCAAUCAUUCGAGAGGGACCCGAAGCGGCAGAGCAUGGGGAUUGGGAGUUGAUGAGCUCCGACCAGAUUGAAGGAUCCAUUGACCUCUUCCUCUAGGUGCACGCAUGGGUCAUGCUCUUCUUGGUCCUGUCUAUCAUGCCGUCCAGGAAUCCAUCGAUUUAGCUUGGCAUCAUGUUCUAAAGAGGAAAAUAUUCUUGGCGAUCAUGGUGGGAUUUCCUGUGUGGAGGAGACCAUUGUGACACGAUCAAGGCUAAGAUUAGAAUUGCUUGGGAUUGUAGCUUGAAAUCGGGCCUUGUAUGGGGAGAACAACAAAAAAUAAAAGCAUUUGCACUCACGAACU